CCGCUAUGGAAGGGGGAUGUGGUCGCCUCCGGUGCCCGCGCGGCCGCUGCGCUCAGAGGGACCCGCUGCCGCCCGGUCCCAGGCCCGCUCGCCGCUGCUGUCUGUCCACCAGGAGUACCACUGGGCUACCCGUGUGUCUGCAAAAUCCAGGUUUCUGGGGAACUUCAGAUCGAGUUCCUUGGCUCACGCAGCCAGCUGCGGCACUUCGGAGAACUCACAGCUUCAGUGCUGCCACCAGGUUUCAUUUGCAAAGAGUGAAGCUGAAUGCAGGUGCAGUACUAUUGAAAGUACCUGUGAGCCCUGGAGAUUGAAAUUGUCUGCUUAGCCACAGAACAGGUGCAGCUUGAACAGCAACAUGCAUAUGUGCCUGGAAGCACGGAAAGGUAGUUUAAUCUCUGUGCUCAUUCAGAACCGUAGCCAUCUCUCCUAAGCCUGCCAUCACUGUGAAGGAGGUUUUAGUUCCAUGGGAGCCAAUGGGACAGAGUUUGUCUAAGAGUGUGGUACUUCGGGAGCACAGCAGAAUGAGCAGGAACCUCCACACCUUCAGAACGAAAUGCAAAUAUCGUACAUUUCACAUCGCCUUUCCCUGGUAAUUUUAAAAAGCCCCAAAUCUGUGUGUGGGUGUGGAGGGAGAGAAAUGCGAAGUAUUUCAAAAAGAUAUAUUUUAACUUGUAAGGCACUCAGAUACCAUGGUGAUGAAUGUGAUCUAAAUCUUAAAUACAUUAGAUGUGAACACUGGUCCACUGGGACCUAUCCUUAGACUCUUAAAGAGCAUCAGAUGCUAACAACUUCUAGAGACUACUCAACUAGGCUUGCUUUAAACUGGUAAUCUAGAGCUGAAACCCCGGGGUCUGACUUCCGUUUACACUAAGGCCACUUUACACCACGAGGACAGUGUAAAAUGGCCUAAGUGUAGAUGAGACUCAGGUCCUCUAUAUAGCCAAUCCCCAUAGCUAGCCUGUCUUCUCAUACAGUAAUUCAGUGAAUAUCAAUGUGCAACUUGACUCAGUCUAGCCAACUGAAAACAAAAAUCAAACACUGUUUUCCCAGCAUUUAAUUAUACCCCUUUUUUUUUUUCCUUUGUCUUCCUUGCCCACCCAAAAUG